UGAGGAAUAUUGGUCAAUGGGUGCAAGCCUGAACCAGCCAUCCCGCGUGAAGGACGACUGCCCUAUGGGUUGUAAACUUCUUUUGUAUAGGGAUAAACCUACCCUCGUGAGGGUAGCUGAAGGUACUAUACGAAUAAGCACCGGCUAACUCCGUGCCAGCAGCCGCGGUAAUACGGAGGGUGCAAGCGUUAUCCGGAUUUAUUGGGUUUAAAGGGUCCGUAGGCGGACUUAUAAGUCAGUGGUGAAAGCCUGUCGCUUAACGAUAGAACUGCCAUUGNUACUGUAAGUCUUGAGUAUAUUUGAGGUAGCUGGAAUAAGUAGUGUAGCGGUGAAAUGCAUAGAUAUUACUUAGAACACCAAUUGCGAAGGCAGGUUACCAAGAUAUAACUGACGCUGAGGGACGAAAGCGUGGGGAGCGAACA
rnacentral:rRNA from 1 species